AAAAACAACAAAAACUUCUCUGCUUCACUUUCACGUGAACCAUAACCCUUAACCUCUUCCCCUUUGCUCAGCCGCCAGCCGGCAGCCACGCUGGACCACCGUCACUACACCGACCUCCUGCCACCAUCCCCUCCGCCGUCGCGCACGCAACCACCACCUGUACCACCACCUGCUCCCGCCGACUUCCCAUCGCCACAACCCAGCCGUCGACCAACCUCCUCCCUUCUCCUUUACAUACACAAGAAAUCUCCCCUCCUAUUUUCUUUGUUGCUCCGCACGCAGCUACCAGUCGUGCUGCACCACCCGUCGCGCCACCAAGAGUGUUGAACCACCGACGUACCCACCGUCUGCUGCCGCCACUGUCGCCGGCCAGCAGCUUCCUUCUUCCUCACUUUUGGUGGAGAAUUCUCUUUAGGCAACUUUUGAAAGUGUUAAGGUGACGUAUCAGUUUGUU